rnacentral:rRNA from 1 species
AUUGAACGCUGGCGGCAUGCUUUACACAUGCAAGUCGAACGGUAACAGGCCGCAAGGUGCUGACGAGUGGCGAACGGGUGAGUAAUGCAUCGGAACGUGCCCAGUCGUGGGGGAUAACUACUCGAAAGAGUAGCUAAUACCGCAUACGAUCUAUGGAUGAAAGCGGGGGACCGUAAGGCCUCGCGCGAUUGGAGCGGCCGAUGUCAGAUUAGGUAGUUGGUGGGGUAAAGGCUCACCAAGCCAACGAUCUGUAGCUGGUCUGAGAGGACGACCAGCCACACUGGGACUGAGACACGGCCCAGACUCCUACGGGAGGCAGCAGUGGGGAAUUUUGGACAAUGGGCGCAAGCCUGAUCCAGCAAUGCCGCGUGCAGGAAGAAGGCCUUCGGGUUGUAAACUGCUUUUGUACGGAACGAAACGGCUCUGGUUAAUACCCGGGGCUAAUGACGGUACCGUAAGAAGAAGCACCGGCGAACUACGU